rnacentral:rRNA from 1 species
AUGCGCCAAGUACAAGAGCUUCUCGACAAAGGUUAUAUACGCGAAUCCCUUAGUCCUUGUGAUGUUCCUAUUAUUCUAGUGCCGAAAAAGGAUGGUACAUCACGUAUGUGUGUUGAUUGUAGAGGCAUUAAUAAUAUUACUAUUCGUUAUCGUCAUCCUAUUCCUAGGCUAGAUGAUAUGCUUGAUGAAUUGAGUGGCUCUACAAUAUUCUCCAAAGUUGAUUUGCGUAGUGGCUACCAUCAAAUUCGUAUGAAAUUGGGAGAUGAAUGGAAAACAGCAUUUAAAACUAAGUUUGGAUUAUAUGAGUGGUUAGUCAUGCCUUUUGGGUUAACUAAUGCACCUAGUACUUUCAUGAGAUUAAUGAACGAAGUUUUACGUGCUUUCAUUGGACGAUUUGUGGUAGUUUACUUUGAUGACAUAUUGAUUUAUAGCAGAUCUUUGGAGGAACAUUUGGAACAUUUACGUGCUGUUUUUAUUGCUCUACGUGAUGCACGUUUGUUUGGUAACCUUGGGAAGUGCACCUUUUGCACCGACCGAGUAUUUUUUCUUGGCUAUGUUAUUACUCCACAGGGAAUUGAAGUUGAUAAAGCCAAGAUUGAAGCUAUUGAGAGUUGGCCGCAGCCCAAAACGGUCACACACGUGAGGAGUUUUCUUGGCCUCGCUGGAUUCUAUAGGCAUUUUGUGAGAGAUUUCAGCACCAUUGCUGCACCUCUCAACGAGCUUACAAAGAAGGAUGUGCCUUUUGUUUGGGGUACCGCACAGGAAGAAGCCUUCACGGUAUUGAAAGAUAAGUUGACACAUGCUCCUUUACUCCAACUUCCUGAUUUUAAUAAGACUUUUGAGCUUGAAUGUGAUGCUAGUGGAAUUGGAUUAGGAGGUGUGUUAUUACAAGAUGGCAAACCUGUUGCAUACUUUUCUGAAAAAUUGAGUGGGCCUAGUCUGAAUUAUUCUACUUAUGAUAAAGAAUUAUAUGCUCUUGUUCGGACUUUAGAAACAUGGCAACAUUAUUUAUGGCCCAAAGAAUUUGUUAUACAUUCUGAUCAUGAAUCUUUGAAACAUAUUAAAAGUCAAGCUAAACUGAAUCGUAGACAUGCUAAAUGGGUUGAAUUCAUUGAGACUUUCCCUAAUGUCAUUAAACACAAGAAGGGAAAAGAAAAUGUUAUUGCUGAUGCAUUGUCUCGCCGCUAUACUAUGCUUUCACAACUUGACUUCAAAAUAUUUGGUUUGGAGACCAUCAAAGAUCAAUAUGUGCAUGAUGUUGAUUUUAAAGAUGUAAUGCAGAAUUGUAAAGAAGGAAGAAUGUGGAACAAGUUUCUCAUUAACGAUGGAUUUGUGUUUCGUGCUAACAAGCUAUGCAUUCCAGCUAGCUCCGUUCGUCUUUUGUUGUUGCAGGAGGCGCAUGGAGGAGGAUUAAUGGGACACUUUGGCGUGAAGAAGACGGAGGACGUACUUGCUACACAUUUCUUUUGGCCAAAGAUGAGACGGGAUGUUGAGCGUUUUAUUGCUCGAUGCACUACAUGUCAAAAAGCUAAGUCACGACUCAAUCCUCAUGGUUUAUAUAUGCCUUUGCCUGUACCUAGUGUUCCUUGGGAGGAUAUAUCUAUGGACUUUGUUUUAGGUUUACCUCGAACAAAGAAGGGGAGGGAUAGCAUAUUUGUUGUCGUGGAUAGAUUCUCGAAAAUGGCACACUUUAUACCAUGUCAUAAAAGCGAUGAUUCUGUUAAUGUUGCUGAUUUGUUCUUUCGUGAAAUUAUUCGCUUGCAUGGUGUGCCAAAUACUAUUGUUUCAGAUCGUGAUACUAAAUUUCUUAGCCACUUUUGGAGAUGUUUAUGGGCUAAGUUGGGGACUAAACUGCUUUUUAGUACUACUUGUCACCCCCAAACUGAUGGACAAACUGAAGUAGUCAAUAGAACGUUGUCUACUAUGCUUAGGGCUGUUUUGAAGAAUAAUAAGAAAAUGUGGGAGGAAUGCUUGCCUCAUAUUGAAUUUGCUUAUAAUCGUUCAUUGCAUUCUACUACUAAGAUGUGCCCUUUUGAAGUUGUGUAUGGUUUCCUACCUCGUGAACCUAUUGAUUUGUUGCCUCUUCCAUCUUCGGAGAAGGUUAAUUUUGAUGCUAAACAACGUGCUGAAUUGAUUUUAAAAAUGCAUGAGUUAACUAAGGAAAACAUUGAGCGCAUGAAUGCUAAAUAUAAACUUGCUGGAGAUAAGGGUAGAAAACAUGUUGUGUUUGCACCUGGAGAUCUUGUUUGGUUACAUUUGCGUAAGGAUAGAUUUCCUGAUUUGCGCAAAUCAAAGUUAAUGCCACGUGCUGAUGGUCCCUUUAAGGUGUUAGAGAAAAUAAAUGAUAAUGCAUAUAAACUUGAGCUGCCUGCAGAUUUUGGGUCGUCCUCGACGGAAGUUCAUCUUCGUCACCCAAAUAAGGCUUCAAAUCUGCAAUGUUAA